UUACAAGGCAGCAGGAUU
rnacentral:misc_RNA from 1 species